UACGGAGGGUGCAAGCGUUAUCCGGAUUUAUUGGGUUUAAAGGGUGCGUAGGCGGGUUAUUAAGUCAGUGGUGAAAGCCUUCAGCUUAACUGAAGAAUUGCCAUUGAUACUGAUGAUCUUGAGUAUGAUUGAGGUGGGCGGAAUGUGUCAUGUAGCGGUGAAAUGCUUAGAUAUGACACAGAACACCGAUUGCGAAGGCAGCUCACUAAGCCAUAACUGACGCUGAUGCACGAAAGCGUGGGGAGCAAACAGG
rnacentral:rRNA from 1 species